AGUGAGCAGAAUAGUAAAACAUUUAAAACAUAUGAUAACAUGAAAUGCAUCACAUCACAGCUAAUCACAUCAAGGAUGAAUUUGUCACCAAUAGUCCUCUACACAUUCCAAUAGUGCCAGGGGCGUAGAAUGGGCCUCACUGGUCUUUCUCUUACAUAGUGCCAGGGGCGUAGAAUGGGCCUCACUGGUCUUCCGUACCGUAUCAUCAUCAUAUCAUAACAUAGGAGGACUAAAGGAUCAUUCAACAUUCAUCCGCAUCAUCAACAUAAUAUGCAAUGCAACAUAUUCGUGAAUUCUAAUGCAAGCACCCUAUUAUAUCUCAUGGCAUUCAUGAUGCGUGAAUCAUGCUAAAACUGAUUUAUUUAUUU
rnacentral:lncRNA from 1 species